UUUUUACAGGCUUAACACAUGCAAGUCGAGGGGCAGCAUGGUCUUAGCUUGCUAAGGCCGAUGGCGACCGGCGCACGGGUGAGUAACGCGUAUCCAACCUGCCUUACACUCUUGGACAGCCUUCUGAAAGGGAGAUUAAUACAAGAUGUUAUCAUGAGUAAGCAUUUUCGCAUGAUUAAAGGUUUACCGGUGUAAGAUGGGGAUGCGUUCCAUUAGAUAGUAGGCGGGGUAACGGCCCACCUAGUCUUCGAUGGAUAGGGGUUCUGAGAGGAAGGCCCCCCACAUUGGAACUGAGACACGGUCCAAACUCCUACGGGAGGCAGCAGUGAGGAAUAUUGGUCAAUGGACGAGAGUCUGAACCAGCCAAGUAGCGUGAAGGAUGAAGGUUCUAUGGAUUGUAAACUUCUUUUAUACGGGAAUAAACGGAUCCACGUGUGGAUUUUUGCAUGUACCGUAUGAAUAAGGAUCGGCUAACUCCGUGCCAGCAGCCGCGGUAAUACGGAGGAUCCGAGCGUUAUCCGGAUUUAUUGGGUUUAAAGGGAGCGUAGAUGGGUUGUUAAGUCAGUUGUGAAAGUUUGCGGCUCAACCGUAAAAUUGCAAUUGAUACUGGCAGUCUUGAGUACAGUUGAGGUAGGCGGAAUUCGUGGUGUAGCGGUGAAAUGCUUAGAUAUCACGAAGAACUCCGAUUGCGAAGGCAGCUUACUAACCUGUAACUGACAUUGAUGCUCGAAAGUGUGGGUAUCAAACAGGAUUAGAUACCCUGGUAGUCCACACGGUAAACGAUGAAUACUCGCUGUAGGCGAUAUACAGUCUGCGGCCAAGCGAAAGCAUUAAGUAUUCCACCUGGGGAGUACGCCGGCAACGGUGAAACUCAAAGGAAUUGACGGGGGCCCGCACAAGCGGAGGAACAUGUGGUUUAAUUCGAUGAUACGCGAGGAACCUUACCCGGGCUUAAAUUGCAACCGAAUAUGGCGGAAACGCUAUAGCUAGCAAUAGCGGUUGUGAAGGUGCUGCAUGGUUGUCGUCAGCUCGUGCCGUGAGGUGCCGGCUUAAGUGCCAUAACGAGCGCAACCCUUGCCGAUAGUUACUAACAGGUUAUGCUGAGGACUCUGUCGGGACUGCCAUCGUAAGAUGUGAGGAAGGUGGGGAUGACGUCAAAUCAGCACGGCCCUUACGUCCGGGGCUACACACGUGUUACAAUGGGGGGUACAGAGGGCUGCUACCACGCAAGUGGAUGCCAAUCCCAAAAACCUCUCUCAGUUCGGAUUGAAGUCUGCAACCCGACUUCAUGAAGCUGGAUUCGCUAGUAAUCGCGCAUCAGCCACGGCGCGGUGAAUACGUUCCCGGGCCUUGUACACACCGCCCGUCAAGCCAUGGGAGCCGGGGGUACCUGAAGUGCGUAACCGCAAGGAGCGCCCUAGGGUAAAACUGGUGACUGGGGCU
rnacentral:rRNA from 1 species